GAUGAAGAACGCAGCGAAAUGCGAUAAGUAAUGUGAAUUGCAGAAUUCAGUGAAUCAUCGAAUCUUUGAACGCACAUUGCGCCCCUUGGUAUUCCGAGGGGCAUGCCUGUUCGAGCGUCAUUAUAACCCUCAAGCUCAGCUUGGUGUUGGGGCCUGCUGCACUGGCAGCCCUUAAAAUCAGUGGCGGCGCCAUCUGGCUCUAAGCGUAGUAAUUCUUCUCGCUAUGGAGUCCUGGUGGAUGCUUGCCAUCAACCCCCAAUUUUUCUAUGGUUGACCUCGGAUCAGGUAGGGAUACCCGCUGAACUUAAGCAUAUCAAUAAGCCGAGGA
rnacentral:misc_RNA from 1 species